GAUGAACGCUGGCGGCGUGCCUAAUACAUGCAAGUCGAGCGAACGGACGAGAAGCUUGCUUCUCUGAUGUUAGCGGCGGACGGGUGAGUAACACGUGGAUAACCUACCUAUAAGACUGGGAUAACUUCGGGAAACCGGAGCUAAUACCGGAUAAUAUUUUGAACCGCAUGGUUCAAAAGUGAAAGGCGGUCUUGCUGUCACUUAUAGAUGGAUCCGCGCUGCAUUAGCUAGUUGGUAAGGUAACGGCUUACCAAGGCAACGAUGCAUAGCCGACCUGAGAGGGUGAUCGGCCACACUGGAACUGAGACACGGUCCAGACGCCUACGGGAGGCAGCAGUAGGGAAUCUGCCGCAAUGGGCGAAAACCUGGCGGAGCAACGCCGCGUGAGUGAUGAAGGUCUUCGGAUCGUAAAACUCUGUUAUUAGGGAAGAACAUAUGUGUAAGUAACUGUGCACAUCUUGACGGUACCUAAACAGAAAGCCACGGCUAACUACGUG
rnacentral:rRNA from 1 species